rnacentral:rRNA from 1 species
UGAAUACGAGACGCUAAGGCGUCGAAGUAGUGUAUGUCAUACUUCCAAGAAAAGCUUGCACUGUCAUAAGUAAAAAAUGCCUGUACCAUAACCGACACAGGUGGGUAGGUAGAGUAUACUAAGGGGCGCGAGAUAACUCUCUCUAAGGAACUCGGCAAAAUAACUCCGUAACUUCGGGAGAAGGAGUACCUUAUUCUAUAAGGUUGCAAUAACAAGAUCCAAGCAACUGUUUAUCAAAAACACAGGUCUCCGCUAAGUCGUAAGACGAUGUAUGGGGGCUGACGCCUGCCCAGUGCCAGAAGGUUAAAGAAGUCGGUUAGCAUUAGCGAAGCUGGUAACUGAAGCCCUGGUGAACGGCGGCCGUAACGAUAACGGUCCUAAGGUAGCGAAAUUCCUUGUCGGGUAAGUUCCGACCCGCACGAAAGGCGUAAUGAUUUGGAUACUGUCUCGGAGAGGGGCUCGGUGAAAUAGACUUGUCUGUGAAGAUGCGGACUACCUGCACCAGGACAGAAAGACCCUAUGAAGCUUUACUGUAACUUGAAAUUGAAAUUGGACUUUAUUCGCGCAGUAUAGGUGGGAGGUGUUGAUUAUAAUCUUGCGGGAUUAUUGGAGCCAUCAGUGAGAUACCACUCUUGUAAUGUUAGAUUUCUAACUUUGAAUCAUUAUCUGGUCAAAGGACAGUUUCAGGCGGGCAGUUUGACUGGGGCGGUCGCCUCCCAAACGGUAACGGAGGCGUACAAAGGUUUCCUCUGAACGGGUAGAAAUCGUAUCUAGAGUGUAAAGGCAUAAGGAAGCUUGACUGUGAGACCUACAAGUCGAACAGGGACGAAAGUCGGUCUUAGUGAUCUGACGGUACUGAGUGGAAAGGCCGUCACUCAACGGAUAAAAGUUACUCUAGGAUAACAGGCUGAUCUCCCCCAAGAGUUCACAUCGACGGGGAGGUUUGGCACCUCGAUGUCGGCUCAUCGCAUCCUGGGGCGGUAGUACGUCCCAAGGGUUGGGCUGUUCGCCCAUGAAAGCGGUACGCGAGCUGGGUUCAGAACGUCGUGAGACAGUUCGGUCCAUAUCCGGUGUAGGCGUUAGAAUAUUGAGAGGAGCCUUCUUUAGUACGAGAGGACCGAGAAGGACAUACCUCUGGUGUACCAGUUAUCGUGCCAACGGUAAACGCUGGGUAGCUAUGUAUGGAGUGGAUAACCGCUGAAAGCAUCUAAGUGGGAAGCCCACCUCAAGAUAAGUAUUCCC